ACAUCCAGUUCAGGACCCACCCCUGAUAAGUCCCCAAGUUCUAGUCUCUCUACAGCCACAUCUGCAUCUCCCCCCAUUCCAUCACCAACUGUCUCCCAGCCAUCUAAGGUGGAGAUUCAUCCUGGGACUGGAGUCAUGAUUGACAAACUAGCAUGGGCCUAUGCCCUCAAUUCAAAUUCAGCCACUGUGUUUGUGAGGCAUCUCCUCACUGCCGUCUUCCCAUUGGAAAUAUUACUGGUGAGCAAUCUUCGUGGGACCAAAAGAAGUGGAGGAGAUACUCGUCUACCACUGGACAAAAAUAAAUUGGAUGCCAUUUACAGUGCAACUCUUGAGAGGUUUCCAGGGUCUCCACUGUCCAUCAUUGGAACCACGAUCAAUGCCAAGAUUACCGAGCUCAGGUCUAAAAGUAAAACCUCCACACCUCACAGUUAAACGUCUGCCUUUGGAGCCAAAUUAAUUAGUGUUGAGGGCAUGUUAGUGAGAUUGGCAUGUUUAUUGUAAUCUAAAGUAAUACAGCUACUGUAGUUUGUAUACCUGUUUGUUUUUCACUUAAUAAAAAAGCUGAAUGUUUACAUCUGUGAAACGU